rfam:Actinophytocola sp. 11-183 contig6, whole genome shotgun sequence.
CCGGCUCCGGUUCACCCCGCACCUGUCGGGGACCCGGCGGCC